AGAGCGCCGCAGGAGUCCCUCCUGCCGUCUGACUUGAGUCCCUGCUGCUGCAGUGCACGCCCCUUCGGCAGCCAGGGUGGGGCCCAGACCCAACCUGGCCCCUCCUGCCCCCACCCCGCCUUUGGGUCGCUGAUCACAGGGCCAGAGGAGGCGGACCGGCCCCCUUCAAUGUCCAGUCAUGAUGCAGCCUCUCCAGCGGCUCCCAGCCGCAACCC
rnacentral:sRNA from 1 species